rnacentral:RNase_P_RNA from 1 species
CGAGCAAGCCGGGUGAUCGCUGCCUCGCCCUAGCGCUCCGCUUUCCGGGGUUGGCAGGGGUGGGGGAGAGGAAAGUCCGAACUCCGCAGGGCAGUGUGCUCGCUAACGGCGAGGGCCCGAGGGGGAUUCCCGAUUCGUCGGGGCGUACGCCUCAGGUACGGAAAGUGCCACAGAAAAUGUACCGCCGCGCCGGCGCCUUCGGGCGGUCCGGUGCGGUAAGGGUGAAAAGGUGCGGUCCCGGGUCACCGGGAAUUAAAGUAAGAGCGCACCGCCCCGGUGGUGACACUGGGGGCAUGGUAAACCCCACACGGAGCAAGACCAAAUAGGGGGGGAGGGGCGGCCCGUCCCGUUAUGACCCCCGGGUAGGUCGCUGGACCCCACGAGCAAUCUUGGGGCUAGAGGAAUGAUCGCCAUCCGUCAAUUGACGGACACAAAAUUCGGCUUACAGGCUUGCUCGCGCG